GGCUCGGUAGCUUAAUUGGUAAAGCACUCGUCUUGCAUACAAGACGUGGGUUCAAAUCCCACCUGAGCUC
rfam:Aedes aegypti strain Liverpool supercont1.503 genomic scaffold, whole genome shotgun sequence.